CUCUCCCCAAAUUAGUUGUGCAUGGUGAAUCAGUAGUCCCUUGCGGCCGUAUGGCCCCAACGUGACCUCCUAAUUCCACCAGAGAUCGUCGUGACGCCGUUUUCCCCUUUUCAGACACCGCCGAGCACAAAUUCUCCGUGCUUCGUGGCCAGCCGUCUCCAGGUCGGUGCAGCCCUUCGUCUCAAGGCAUGUCACUAUGUCGACAAGUGACUUCAAACAUGACACAAACUAUCAUGGACCGAUCAGAGACUACUCCAUAGACAGAAAAUCCACCUGCCGGGAACUGAUUCUAUUUUGAUAUUUGUGGAACAGAGCCCGACUCUCCUACCACACAAGGAAAGCCCCGGUGCAUUUGCCACCUCCUUGCUGUUUUAAAACUCUUUAUCACUUAAAUGAUGCAUUAGGUAAUAGGAGUUGGGUGUUAAACCAAUUGCUGCAUUUCCUCCCUUGGAUCUGUUUACCAUUCCUUGAUUA